rnacentral:rRNA from 1 species
CCUACGGGAGGCAGCAGUGAGGAAUAUUGGUCAAUGGACGCAGGGCUGAACCAGCCAUGCCGCGUGCAGGAUGACGGCCCUAUGGGUUGUAAACUGCUUUUGUACGAGGGUAAACGCAGAUACGUGUAGCUGUCUGCAAGUACCGGACGAAUAAGCAUCGGCUAACUCCGUGCCAGCAGCCGCGGUAAUACGGAGGAUGCGAGCGUUAUCCGGAUUUAUUGGGUUUAAAGGGUGCGUAGGCGGAAGGUCAAGUCGGAGGUAAAAUCCCGGGGCUCAACUCCGGAUUGCCCUUGAUACUGGUGGGCUUGAGAGUACGUGCAGUAUGCGGAAUGUGUGGUGUAGCGGUGAAAUGCUUAGAGAUCAUACAGAACACCGAUUGCGAAGGCAGCUUACC